GUCGCUGCCCCGCCCGCGGGGGAGAGGAAAGUCCGGGCAACACAGAGCACCGUCCUACCUAACGGGUAGAUGUCCGUGAGGGCACGGUUCAAGGUAACAGAGAACAACCGCCUCCGUCCUGCGGAGGCAAGGGUGAAAAGGCGGGGUAAGAGCCCACCGUCCGUCGUGGCGACACGCGGAGCCGUACCACCGACGGGUUGCAAGGCCAUGUAUACCGACAUUCAAGGGUUGCUCGCCCGCUGUCGGGGGGUAGGCCGCUGGAGCGUGCGGGAGACCGUACGAGUAGAUAAAUGGCGGAAGCGCACCGCACCGCGAGGGGCGGCGGCGUACAGAACCCGGCUUACAGCCG
rnacentral:RNase_P_RNA from 1 species